rnacentral:misc_RNA from 1 species
CAGCGACGUCCGUCCUCGCAAGCCCCUUCAGUCGUUGGCCCAAGAGCGAGUUGGCCUUGGCCGUGUGCGGGUUUCUUGUGUUGCAUACCUACCGAACGGAAUUCGUGCGGCGUACCGUCCACCGUUCGCCUCGCGCUGUACCCACUUCGGGGUGCGGCAUCGGGUGAACCCCGAAGCGAUUCUCGCGGUCCUCGUCGGCCACGAAAUGUGCCGUCGGCGCGGCCCGCGAGUUUAUGCUUGGGCUCUCGGAUGCGGAAUACUCGGAGGGCAGGAGGUCGGCGGCCUCCGUUUGCCCGAAUGAAGCGUUUAUUCGCUCGUUACCGAACGACUGCCGUCGUUGCUUCGGCCGUCUGAUCCUUCGGGUUCGGACGCGCCCGUGCU